rnacentral:rRNA from 1 species
UUUAGGUUGGGGUGACCGCGGAGUAUAAGAUAUCCUCCAUGAAAAAAGCUAACUGCCCUUAUUAGAGAAAGACACUUCCAAAAAAUAAUAAAUUAAUUUUAAAUGAUCCGACAUUCGAUCAACGAACCAAGUUACCCUGGGGAUAACAGCGCAAUCCGUCCCGAGAGCCCCUAUCGACAGGCGGGUUUACGACCUCGAUGUUGGAUCAGGGUAUCCUAGUGGUGCAGCAGCUAC